GAUGAAGAACGUAGCGAAAUGCGAUACGUAGUGUGAAAUGCAGAAUUCAGUGAAUCAUCGAAUCUUUGAACGCACAUUGCACCUCUCGGUAUUCCGGGAGGUAUGCCUGUUCGAGCGUCAUUUGUACCCUCAAGCUCUGCUUGGUGUUGGGUGUUUGUUCCGCCUCUGUGUGUGAACUCGCCUCAAAACAAUUGGCAGCCGGCGUACUUGUUUCGGAGCGCAGCACAUUUUGCGAUCCAGAUCAACGUACAGCGGCAUCCAAGAAGCCUUAUUUAACGCUCUUGACCUCGGAUCAGGUAGGGAUACCCGCUGAACUUAAGCAUAUCAAUAAGCGGAGGA
rnacentral:misc_RNA from 1 species